UACGUAGGGUGCGAGCGUUAAUCGGAAUUACUGGGCGUAAAGCGUGCGCAGGCGGUUGGGCAAGUCUGAUGUGAAAGCCCCGGGCUUAACCUGGGAACGGCGUUGGAGACUGCCCGGCUAGAGUGCGUCAGAGGGGGGUAGAAUUCCACGUGUAGCAGUGAAAUGCGUAGAGAUGUGGAGGAAUACCGAUGGCGAAGGCAGCCCCCUGGGAUGACACUGACGCUCAUGCACGAAAGCGUGGGAGCAAACAGG
rnacentral:rRNA from 1 species